ACCGAAGAGGAUGGUUGUCCUCAAAGCAGUGCCAUUCAAACAAAGAUGACUCAGCCUCCUGAGUCAAGACAGGUCACACAGUUAGAAACCAAGAAAGUGAAAGGAUCUCUUCCUGAUAACUUCUUUGAUAGGGAUGAAACCAAGUUACCUACGAAUCUUAUGAAGCCUCCAAGGGAGAAUAAACUGGCAGUGAAGCAGGCUAGUGCUCCAGAAACCAAAACAAAGCACGUUAAAGGAUCUCUUCCUGAUGACUUCUUUGAUAAGGAUGAUGCCAAGUUACCUAUGAAUGCCAUGAAGCCUCCUAGGGAGAAUAUACAGGCUUCAGAGCAGGCUAGUGCUCCAGA
rnacentral:lncRNA from 1 species